GGUGAACGCUGGCGGCGUGCUUGACACAUGCAAGUCGAACGGUAUGUGGCAACACAUAGAGUGGCGAACGGGUGAGUAACACGUGGGAACGUACCUUCUGCAGGGGGAUAACUGACCGAAAGGACAGCUAAUACCGCAUAAGACCGAGAGGAGAAAGGUGCAACAGCAUCGGCAGAGGAGCGGCCCGCGGACCAUCAGCUAGUUGGUGGGGUAAGAGCCUACCAAGGCAACGACGGAUAGCCGGCGUGAGAGCGUGGCCGGCCACAAGGACACUGAGAUACGGGUCCUACUCCUACGGGAGGCAGCAGUGCGGAAUUUUAGAUAAUGGAGGCAACUCUGAUCUAGCGACGCCGCGUGCAGGAAGAAGGUCUUCGGAUUGUAAACUGCUGUGGUAAGGGAAAAAUGCCAUGUAGAGUGGAAAGCUACAUGGAGGGAUGGUACUUUACUAGAAAGCCCCGGCUAACUACGUGCCAGCAGCCGCGGUAAUACGUAGGGGGCGAGCGUUACCCGGAAUCACUGGGCGUAAAGGGAGCGUAGGUGGCCUGACAUGUCGACUGUGAAAACCCGGAGCUCAACUCCGGACUUGCAGUUGAAACUGCCAGGCUUGAGGACGGUAGAGGAAGACGGAACUGCCAGUGUAGGGGUAAAAUCCUUAGAUAUUGGCAGGAACGCCGGUGACGAAAGUGGUUUUCUGGGCCGGUUCUGACACUGAUGCUCGAAAGCCAGGGGAGCGAACG
rnacentral:rRNA from 1 species